UUCCAGACUCCUACGGGAGGCAGCAGUGAGGAAUAUUGGUCAAUGGGCGGGAGCCUGAACCAGCCAUGCCGCGUGAAGGCGAGUGCCCUACGGGCGUUAAACUUCUUUUGUGCGGGAGCAAUAAGGGCCACGUGUGGCCCGAUGAGAGUACCGCACGAAUAAGCAUCGGCUAACUCCGUGCCAGCAGCCGCGGUAAUACGGGGGAUGCGAGCGUUAUCCGGAUUUAUUGGGUUUAAAGGGAGCGUAGACGGCGACGCAAGUCUGGAGUGAAAGCCCGGGGCCCAACCCCGGGACUGCUCUGGAAACUGCGUCGCUGGAGUACGGGAGGGGCAGGCGGAAUUCCUGGUGUAGCGGUGAAAUGCGUAGAUAUCAGGAGGAACACCGGCGGCGAAGGCGGCCUGCUGGACCGUGACUGACGUUGAGGCUCGAGAGCGUGGGGAGCAAACAGGAUUAGAUACCCCGGUAC
rnacentral:rRNA from 1 species